CCUACGGGAGGCAGCAGUGAGGAAUAUUGGUCAAUGGGCGAGAGCCUGAACCAGCCAAGUCGCGUGAGGGAGUACUGCCCUAUGGGUUGUAAACCUCUUUUGUCGGGGAGCAAAAGCCGGACGUGUCCGGCUGUGAGAGUACCCGAAGAAAAAGCGUCGGCUAACUACGUGCCAGCAGCCGCGGUAAUACGGAGGAUGCGAGCGUUAUCCGGAUUUAUUGGGUUUAAGGGGUGCGCAGGCGGAUUUUUAAGUCGGCGGUAAAAUCGGGGGGCUAAACCCCAUCCAGCCGUUGAAACUGGGGAUCUAGAGUGUGCGAGAGGUAUGCGGAAUGCGUGGUGUAGCGGUGAAAUGCAUAGAUAUCACGCAGAACCCCGAUUGCGAAGGCAGCAUACCGGUGCACAACUGACGCUCAGGCACGAAAGCGUGGGUAUCGAACAGGAUUAGAUACCCCAGUAGUC
rnacentral:rRNA from 1 species